rnacentral:rRNA from 1 species
CCUACGGGGGGCUGCAGUGGGGAAUAUUGGACAAUGGGGGCAACCCUGAUCCAGCCAUGCCGCGUGUGUGAAGAAGGCCCUCGGGUUGUAAAGCACUUUCAGUGAGGAAGAACGCCUGGUGGUUAAUACCCAUCAGGAAAGACAUCACUCACAGAAGAAGCACCGGCUAACUCCGUGCCAGCAGCCGCGGUAAUACGGAGGGUGCGAGCGUUAAUCGGAAUUACUGGGCGUAAAGCGCGCGUAGGUGGCUUGAUAAGCCGGUUGUGGAAGCCCCGGGCUCAACCUGGGAACGGCAUCCGGAACUGUCAAGCUAGAGUGCAGGAGAGGAAGGUAGAAUUCCCGGUGUAGCGGUGAAAUGCGUAGAGAUCGGGAGGAAUACCAGUGGCGAAGGCGGCCUUCUGGACUGACACUGACACUGAGGUGCGAAAGCGUGGGUAGCAAACAGGAUUAGAUACCCGGGUAGUC